rnacentral:rRNA from 1 species
CCUACGGGUGGCUGCAGUGAGGAAUAUUGGUCAAUGGGCGCGAGCCUGAACCAGCCAAGUAGCGUGAAGGAUGACUGCCCUACGGGUUGUAAACUUCUUUUAUAAAGGAAUAAAGUGAGGCACGUGUGCCUUUUUGUAGGGACUUUAUGAAUAAGGAGCGGCUAACUCCGUGCCAGCAGCCGCGGUAAGACGGAGGAUCCGAGGGUUAUCCGGAUUGAUUGGGUUUAAAGGGAGCGUAGAUGGGUUGUUAAGUCAGUUGUGAAAGUUUGCGGCUCAACCGUAAAAUUGCAAUUGAUACUGGCAGUCUUGAGUACAGUUGAGGUAGGCGGAAUUCGUGGUGUAGCGGUGAAAUGCUUAGAUAUCACGAAUAACUCCGAUUGCGAAGGCAGCUUACUAAACUGCCACUGACAUUGAUGCUCGAAAGUGUGGGUAUCAAACAGGAUUAGAUACCCCUGUAGUC